GUGACGCGCAUGAAUGGAUCACCGUGAUUCCCACUGUCCCUAUCUACAAUCUAGUGAAACCACAGUCAAGGGAA
rnacentral:rRNA from 1 species